UCAUCUUCACUUUGGGUCUAACAGCACUUUUCAUGUGGCUAAGUCUACGUACUUCCAACCCCAAAUGUUCUAUUGAAAAUUUUUACUUACCUUCUCUAGAUACGACCUUAAAGAACCCAAACGAUACUGCCUUAAACCUGACCUUAAAGCUAGAAAACACCAACAAAGACAAAGGGAUUAAGUAUGAUGCUGUGAAAGUCGCAGUUUCUGAUUCUCAAAACAGAAAUCAUGUUGUAGCUAAUGUUUCGGUGCCGGGGUUUUACCAGGGUCACAAAAAGAAGGCUGAAAAGAAUGGUACAGGGACAGCUAACUUGACGGUGGCUUCGCAGGUGACUUCCAACAACGGGACGAGGGUUUUCUGGGUGGAUUUGUCGACUUCAGUGAAAUUUAAGAUCAUGU
rnacentral:lncRNA from 1 species